UGGUCCAUGAUGACAUGUUCUCUAGACCAAGUGAGGAGUAGAGGAGUGGCCUGCAGCCUGAAGCACGACAGCUAGCAGCCCACGCUCAGAAAGGUGACCUUUAUACUAGGAUGUUGCUUUUAGGCUGGAUCACAAGACAGGGCUCAGCAGUCUUGCAGCUCUUCCUAUCCACUGUGUGACAGGAAGGACUCUCCUUGGUGUUCCCUACUGCCCAGAGCUCCAGAAGAGUGCUUCCUGACCAUCAUCAGCCUAACAUCUGAAGGAGGCUACAAAGCUCAGUCUAGCACCUUGUCUGGAGUCCAAGAAUGAUUGGAGGAAAACCCUAAGCCAUAUUCCUGCUCAACUACAGUCUGAAGUUAGAGGUUUUAAGAAAGAACAAGGCACAUAUAAUGGGAUCCAACUUUUGCAAGAUAUCAAAAAGGAAAUUUUCGAAUCAUUUUUGUACAACCUAUUUGUUCAAGUUAGCAUACUAUCCUUUCAGCUUUCCUGCAUAAAAGCUUUUUUAACCUUCAGAAUAAACAAAAAAUAGGUUCAUGGAUAACUUAGAA